AUAAAAGCAUUGAGGGGGCCAGGAAUGAUUUUGAUGUCUUCCUACAGCCUUUAUGGCCCCCGCCCCUCGGAAAUGCCGAGGUGGGCGGGGCCAUGUUACGUCAUAGAGCGGAGCGCGCGGCCGGAAUUCGGAAAUCCCGCAGCGCUCCAAGGUCCUCGCCAGAUUGCCUGGUCCUAGCCGGUCUGCGUCCCUAGAGACCACUCAGGAGGGCAUCCGAAUAGCAGGUGGGCUCAGCCUUUUGUCGCUGCCAGAGGUGUCUGGAGGGGUUUGGGAUCAGCACACAGGUCCUGGCUCCCCAGGAGAAAGAGUGAUCAAGUGAAGGAAUGAGGGAAGAAAGAGGAGUUUCUUGGAGUUGGAUAUCAUCAUUUCUGAGGACAUCUUUAACUGGACACCAAGAUUUCUGUCUCUAAGAAUUACAUGGCAGAUGCAGAUGCAGAAGAAACAAAAGACAGAAGCCAUGUUACUCACUAUUUCCUGAGCAUAGAAGAAGAUGAUCAAGGUCCAGG